rnacentral:rRNA from 1 species
CACGACCUCAGGUUAGGUGAGACUACCCGCUGAAUUUAAGCAUAUUAAUAAGCGGAGGAAAAGAAAAUAAUAGCCUAGACCUGGAA